rnacentral:rRNA from 1 species
UUAGAUUUUAUUUAUUUGUUUGUUAUUUGUUUUAUUUAUUUUAUUAAAAAUAAUUGUAAUUUGAAUUGUUUUAGUACUUUUUAAGGAAAAGAUAAUAUUAAUUAGAGUUUAUUAGUACUGUGAAGGAUUAUUGAAAUAUAUUGAAAAAUUUUUAUUAUGAAAGAAGGUUUUGUUUGUUGUACCUUGUGUAUCAGGGUUUAUUAAAUAGUUGUUAAAAAUUUAUUUUUCUCGAUUCUGGAAGAGUUAAUAUUUUGUUCGAGUUACCGUGAUAAAGUUAUUUGGAACAAGAUAUUGGAAAUGAGAUGUUAUUCGUUUUUAGAGGUAUCUAGUUUUUUAAGAAAUAAGUUGAAUUUAGGAUUAGUUUUGUCAUUAAGCUUUUUUGGAAGUUUAGUGAGUAGUUUAAUCUAAUACUUUGUGGGAUAAGCUGUGAAGUAGAUAUUUAAAAGAUUAAAUUUAUUAUAGGAAAUGUAAGCUUAGAAUUAGCUAUCAUUAAAGAGUGUGUUAUAAUUUAUUUUGUUUAUUAAAUAUUUAGUUUUAUUUUAAUUUUUUAUUAAAAUAUUUAUAUUAAUGGGGAAUAUAAGGAAAUGAUGAUAUAAUUAGUAUAUAAAUUUGUUUAAGUAAAUUGAUAUGAUAGGUUUUUAUAAGGAAUUCGGCAAAAUGAAUGUUCGCCUGUUUAACAAAAACAUGUCCUUUUGAUUAAAUAUAAGGUCUAACCUGCCCACUGAUAAUUAAAUGGCCGCAGUAUUUUAACUGUGCAAAGGUAGCAUAAUCAUUAGUCUUUUAAUUGAAGGCUGGAAUGAAUGGUUGGACGAGAUAUUGACUGUUUCAUUUUAACUUGUGUUAGAAUUUUAUUUUUCAGUAAAAAAGCUGAAAUAAAUUUUAAAGACGAGAAGACCCUAUAAAUCUUUAUAAUUAAGUUGUUACGGUUUUUUGGAUAUUUUGUGCUGUGAUGGUAAGUAUUAUUUUGUUGGGGUGACAUUAAAAUUUAUGGAACUUUUAAUUUUUGGUUACAUUAAUUAAUGAUUUUUUGAUCCGUUAGUAGCGAUUAUAAAAUUAAGUUACUUUAGGGAUAACAGCGUAAUUUUUUUGGAGAGUUCUUAUCGAUAAAAGGGAUUGCGACCUCGAUGUUGGAUUAAGAGAUAGAUUUGGGUGUAGCAGCUUGAGAUCUAAGUCUGUUCGACUUUUAAAAUCUUACAUGAUCUGAGUUCAAACCGGCGUAAGCCAGGUUGGUUUCUAUCUUUAAGGAGAUAAAAUAUUUUAGUACGAAAGGACCAAAUAUUUAAUAUAUUAAUAUUUUUGUUGUGAAUAUAAAUAAUUUA